rnacentral:rRNA from 1 species
CCUACGGGAGGCUGCAGUGGGGAAUAUUGGGCAAUGGGCGCAAGCCUGACCCAGCAACGCCGCGUGAAGGAAGAAGGCUUUCGGGUUGUAAACUUCUUUUAUCAGGGACGAAGAUAGUGGCGGUUCCUGAAGAAUAAGCCACGGCUAACUACGUGCCAGCAGCCGCGGUAAUACGUAGGUGGCAAGCGUUCUCCGGAUUUAUUGGGUGUAACGGGCGUGUAGGCGGCAGCGCAAGUCAGAUGUGAAAAGCCAGGGCUCAACCCUGGGCCUGCAUUUGAAACUGUGUUUCGUGAGUGCUGGGGAGGCAAUCGGAAUUCCGGGUGUAGCGGUGAAAUGCGUAGAUAUACGGAGGAACACCAGUGGCGAAGGCGGAUUGCUGGACAGUAACUGACGCUGAGGCGCGAAAGCGUGGGGAGCAAACAGGAUUAGAUACCCUGGUAGUC